rnacentral:rRNA from 1 species
AGUGAACGCUGGCGGUAGGCCUAACAAAUGCAAGUCGAACGGCAGCACAGUAAGAGCUUGCUCUUACGGGUGGCGAGUGGCGGACGGGUGAGGAAUACAUCGGAAUCUACUUUUUCGUGGGGGAUAACGUAGGGAAACUUACGCUAUACCGCAUACGACCUACGGGUGAAAGCAGGGGAUCUUCGGACCUUGCGCGAUUGAAUGAGCCGAUGUCGGAUUAGUUAGUUGGCGGGGUAAAGGCCCACCAAGGCGACGAUCCGUAGCUGGUCUGAGAGGAUGAUCAGCCACACUGGAACUGAGACACGGUCCAGACUCCUACGGGAGGCAGCAGUGGGGAAUAUUGGACAAUGGGCGCAAGCCUGAUCCAGCCAUACCGCGUGGGUGAAGAAGGCCUUCGGGUUGUAAAGCCCUUUUGUUGGGAAAGAAAAGCAGCAGGUUAAUACCCCGCUGUUCUGACGGUACCCAAAGAAUAAGCACCGGCUAACUUCGUG